UCCAAGACCAAAUUAUCUGGGCUAUGCCAUCAACAUAAAUUUUAUAGCAAUGCACUCUUACUAUACAGUAGGUCAACACCUACAUCAUUUAUCUCUAUUUUAAUUUCUCCCAAAGAAUUUGAAAAGAAACAUAACUGCAAACUUAAUUAAAUCUCCUUAGCUAUUAAAAGACCAAUCUCUGAGGCUUUUCAUUUUGUUUUUGUUGGUGAACAAGGUUCUUGUCCUGUUGUAAAAGACGCACCAAACAAUCUCUCCAUUUUCUGCUGACACUUCAAAAAAAGUGAAACACAGAGGAAGAGUGCACAGCCUUUAAAGUGAAGAAGCAGUGAACUGUAGUAAAGGGCAACUUAAACAGGCGGUGCGCAGAACCUCUCGAAUCAAUCACCAUCCACCGGUACUCCGCCACCUCCCAAAGGAACUUCACAGGGGGAAUAUGAAGGCUAAAACUAAAGCACUGAACACCAUAAGCCCCCAUAUUACAUAUUGUCAACACAGGAUGCCAUUUCUCUCAAACUGUCACAGGUUUGGGGAAUGUAGGGGGAUUUUUAGAUUAGAUAGGCAACCUCUGAUUUUUCUCAAGGGGGUCAGGGGACACGGAGGAGGGGGUUCUGAUGGAUUACUGUUUUCACCUUAAGACCCCAUUAACGCACCUCAUCUAAGCAAGUAGAUAAACACAUGUGCACACACCAGAGAGACACACAAACAUGUUAUAAAUAAUGUUUUCUUGGACAGAGAUGCAGCUAUUUGUGUGAAGUAAUGAUUUUGUGAAGUGGUUUCUUUUUUUACUUUGUUAAGGUGAUUCAAGGCCUAUAGACCUGCAGUGUUACAGAUUAAUAAAAAGACAAAGGUUAACAUGUUUUUAUGGACUAAUACAAACCCUAUUUAUUGUUUAAGUUGUUCUUACCGAAUGUGGAUAUGACAAAAUUGCAUACUGAUCUUUUGGACAUACUACUCAUAUUGCAUACUGAUUUUGGCAUACUACUGUAUGGAAAUAAGCGAUUUUAGCUAAUGUCAGUGGUCGUCCAAAAAGCUAGCUUAAAUACCGGAUAGAAACAUCAGCACACCAUGCUGGUCUUAGUAGCAAAGAUCUUGUGCUGUAAUCCUGUUAGGUAAUAUCUAAAAAUUGAUAUCCAGAUGCCUCCUGAGCACUAUGCAAUUAUGCGCAGGUCAGUGUUUAUGUUUGCAAAUAUGCAGAGUUAGAAUAGAGCGUAAAAUUUUGAGUACAAUAAAGUGUAAUAGCUUCCCAAUGCUGCAGGGAUUCACAUCUUUAUAAUUGAAUUCUUUGGCAAAUAGCUUUAGCAGGUUCUCGGAGAGGCGGUCGCGGUGAGGUUUGCGCCAUCGUGCACGGUCAAUUGCUCCACAAUUUCAUCACAUUAGCAUAAGAACGCUAUACUGACAAUAAAUAAAACAGAUUUCGUGGUGGUGUGCGCUUCUCUUAAAACUGAUAAAAGAGAUUAUUGUGUACUCGGGACAAUGCCGCACACGCUAAAAAACAGCUUGAGCGUCACACAACCCUAAACUGAUUUAUGAGCAUCUUCCAGUUCUUCAUAAGACCUCUCUGUGAUUAACUGCAGCAAUAUCAGGUGAAAUGUUCCCGAGCAGUUUACAUAAUUCACUGGAUUGCUCCUCAAAUGGUAUUGUUGUCACUUAGUGGAUUAUUGGAGCGAAGACUUCACCCUCGCCAUUGCACACAGUGGCAAGUUGGUGAGCCGUAUAUAGUCAAUAAACCAAAUGGCCGCCAUGAGGAACAGAUUGUGUUGUUAAAGCAAAUGUUGUUUGUAACGCUCAGAUGCUAGCAGAAGUUCAACAAUAAAACAGCAAUAAUGCGUAUGUUGCAAGGAUUUAUGCAUUCUCACCUUCUUGCUUCAUACAUACAAAAUAUUGCUAAGCAGCAAAUUGAAAUAACAGCACUUUUCUUUAAAGCAUGUGCACUGUUUACACAUGCAUGCACACAGCCUUACGUUCAUCAACUGAAAUGCAAUGUGGUGAAUCAAACCGUUCACGGUUUUUUAAUGAUAAAUGGGUCCAUCAGACAGUAAAGACAAUCUGCUGUAUGCAAAAGAGCAUCUCUGGGGAAUGUAACUUUUAAAACAUUACAUUAUUGUAAACAACUAUAAAGGGGUGACAUUUUUGAUAUUACAUAAUGUUUUGACUAUGGCAUAGCUUAAUUAAUAGAUCAAGUUUGGUCACACAGAUGUCUGUUGAAAAAAAACCCAGCAUAGACCAGAAUAAUUCCUAUGCUGUUCCAUACUGGUUUGGUGCUGGUUUAGCUGGUGGUUCUGCUGGGAUGACCAGCAUAGGAUGCUGGUGCUGGUAUGCUGGUGGUCAUCAGCAUACCAGCACCUUAUGUCAACCUUGUGCUUGCAAAAGACUGCUGGAAACAGGCUAAUCUCACAAAAUGUGACUUUACAGCCGAGAACAUUAAAUUACACAAUCAAUUAAUUAAAAUGUUGUUACAAUGUUAAAAACAAAGUUGUGACUGCUGAGUUAGCUCUUUAUGCUUGUUAGCUAUUAUUGCUAUAUGCUAGUGUCCCGGCGCAUAUAUCAUUUUCACGUUUAGCACCACGUUGUUUAAAUAGCAAAUGCAUUUGCGCCCAUGGGGGCAUUCUGGUCCGAAAACGAGGUGUGUUCAGGCGCAUUGUUGGCACGUUGCUAUUUUGAGGCAAUUUAAAUGGACUACGCCAUUGACCAACUAAAACCUGGUCUAAAGUCAAUGGCACAAUAGUGUUUUUGUUAUUUAAAGAGAGCGUAAGUAAUAUGCACCUAUAAAGGGGACGACAACGCGCGUUUGCUUAUCACACACAUGGAUGCGCAGUAGCACACAAACAUGUUUAAAUAUGAAAAAUUAAAGGAUUAAAAUGUAAAAUAUUAUUAGUAAGACUCUUGGACAAAAAUGAGGAUCAAUUAUGAGACGUUAGAAGGCGUAAAGAGCUUCUUUACCAUGUAGCCUGGUAAGUAAUUAAAUGUUUUACUUUAAACAAAUGCAAAUAUUUCAGCUAUUUUUAAUGCUACCCCACAGAUUUAUUGCAUAUGAUGACUCUGUACCUGUGAAUAUGAUGAGAUGAGAACUUUUUUUAAGUAAUGCUUUUUUUUAAAUACAGCGCUGGCCGGGUGCUAAAAGUUUUGUAUCUCUAGACAUUUGUAAAUUCUUUAUCUCAUGUUUGUUACAAAUAAAGUAUUUUAAGAGUACAAACCUUUUCUUGCAUAUUUGUAAAUUAUAUUUUGAGAUUACACUGAUCAUGUAGAAUAUUCAUUUACAGCAAUUAAAAGCUUGCUAUUUUUACCUCCAUGACUGAAAGAAAACGACUUUUAAAGGUUUUAAUAAAAAAAAACAUUGCAGUUUUUUAACGUCAAUCUUAAAUUGGGGGUCUUCUUCAACCUUUUUAUUUUUCAGUUUACAGAUUCUCACAUCUAAAUAGGGAAUCGGCAUGGCACCAGUGCAACUGGCUUUUAAAGGGGAUGAGAGCUGAGACUCUCAUUGCAUGUUAUGCCCAAAACACACCCAUUACUCAUUACGAGAAUAGUAACAACCCUUUUAGACAGUGUGCUAGGCGCACAACCUAAUUUUCCCGUCGUUAAAUUUGGACACGCCUUUUUAGACUGUGCGCAGUGCGCUUUAGACAAUGCGCUUAGAUAAUUAAAGAGCACCUAUUAUGGGAUACACGUUUUUAAACAUCAUUUUGUGUGUAAGUGUGUAUUAGUACAUGCUAACGAUAUUCAAAAAGUACAUACCUCAAAGAAAACGAUGACGCGAGUUAUCGUCUCUAACGUUCGAGGACUACAAAAAACACUCGGAUUGUAGGCAACAGUUUACUUCCUGGGAUUAGUGACGUAGAUAAGACCAACAUUAUCAUAGUUCAGCCCUCUCUGCUUUGCUUGGGUACGCCCUCAAAGACGAGGGUGGGGAGCGCCGAGUCAGAAGAGAGCUAAAAUGGCGGACGCUGUCUCUUUAGAUGCAAGGGCAAAAUAGCACUUUAUGGACUUCCACAGAGGACAUCAUGUUUAAUACGGUUCCGGAAAAAUCCAGUCAGAAGUUGUUCACGGAGUUUUCACAAUAACUGCUUCUCAUGAACCGAAGCUGGACGUCUCCUCCUGAAAGUUGGAUUACUGUGCACUUCUGGAUCACAGGCUGUAAGUAUUCACGUUUAUUAUUUGCCUUUUACUGUACAUUACGUAACCGGUAACCGGAGAUUAACAUAAUGUGCGUGUAGAGCUAAGCUUGCAAGCGAACUGUUUUGUGUUGUAAUACUGUAUUUUUAAAUUUAUUCUCAUGAUCAAACUCAAGAAACUCUAAGUACAGAUGAUUUGUUUAAAGUUAUAUGUAUUUUACUGUUGUAUUUACGUGAAGCUUUCUUAGAUUUUGAAACGAAGUAAACACGUAAUGUGUGUUGCUAAUGUUGGGCCAUGUAAUAUGUAAUACAUUAACGUUUUAAUGAAUAGUCUAACGAUUUAUAGUCAUGGUACUCUAUUGAUAUAAUAUGUCUUUUUGACUGAAUACAUGUUUGUUUUAUUUGUCUAUAUCUUAGAUUCGCAGCUGGACACAUCCUUCUACACUGUAUGCAAACAUGCAACAUCAUAACACACAGUACAAGGAGUCAGACUGGCAUAUGAGGAUCAAAGGAACCCAGGCAGUAGCAUCGUUUCACAAUGUUUCCAUCACCAUCAUCAGUGGAUGCCUUUGCCGUCCGUAGCCUGAGAUUUCAGAUUUGCAGCAAAAAAAUUUGAUUUUCUCAUUUAUUGGAAUGCUAUGCAGGUUGUAACUUGCAGCCAUCCAUUACAAUGUCACCAAGCCGUAACAAAAGCAGGAGAGGGAAAGUACAAGGCUAUGUUCCCAAAACACACAAAUGACAUACCUUAUGUGGAUGAUGUGAUCAGGCUUGUGUUUGAUGAGGUAUUUGAAGAUAAGCUGAAGGAAACCCCGAUUCCAAUGGACCUGGCAUCACAGUUUGAGAGACCUUCAAAGGAGGACAUGAUUGCAUGCCAUCUUCAGUGCAGGGGUCGUCGAAAGCCAAAAUUGUGACCGAUCUGAUCAGGAAGCUCCAAGCAUAUCUGGAGAACAACACACGACAGGAUGAUAACCUUAUAGUGUCGUCUUAAAUAGCACCAGCUGACAAAGCUUUGAUAUGCCAUUUAUCUGAAUAGAUAGCUGUAAGAAAUGAAUUGAAAAAUUUUUGAAAGAAGAGCACAAUAUGGUUA